rnacentral:misc_RNA from 1 species
AGUGGGCCUGCGGGGAUGGCUCAG